rnacentral:rRNA from 1 species
UAGGGAAUCUUCCACAAUGGACGCAAGUCUGAUGGAGCAACGCCGCGUGAGUGAAGAAGGUCUUCGGAUCGUAAAGCUCUGUUGUUGGUGAAGAAGGAUAGAGGCAGUAACUGGUCUUUAUUUGACGGUAAUCAACCAGAAAGUCACGGCUAACUACGUGCCAGCAGCCGCGGUAAUACGUGGUGGCAAGCGUUGUCCGGAUUUAUUGGGCGUAAAGCGAGCGCAGGCGGAAUGAUAAGUCUGAUGUGAAAGCCCACGGCUCAACCGUGGAACUGCAUCGGAAACUGUCAUUCCUGAGUGCAGAAGAGGAGAGUGGAACUCCAUGUGUAGCGGUGGAAUGCGUAGAUAUAUGGAAGAACACCAGUGGCGAAGGCGGCUCUCGGUCUGCAACUGACGCUGAGGCUCGAAAA